UACGGAGGGUGCGAGCGUUGUCCGGAAUCACUGGGCGUAAAGGGCGCGUAGGUGGCUUUUCAAGCGCGCGGUGAAAGCCCGGGGCUCAACCCCGGGUCGGCCGUGCGGACUGGGAGGCUCGAGCACUGUAGGGGCGGGUGGAAUUCCGGGUGUAGCGGUGGAAUGCGCAGAUAUCAGGAGGAACACCGGUGGCGAAGGCGGGUCUCUGGGCCGAUACUGACGCUGAGGAGCGAAAGCGUGGGGAGCGAACAGG
rnacentral:rRNA from 1 species